GGGCGGACCGUGGACAGAAGAGAACAACACCGGGUUUGUUAAUUACUUUAUGCACGAUCACAGAUUUAUCUCUUUAUUUAUGUGGCUUAUCAGGCUUGCUGCACGAUCACAGAUUUAUCUCUUUAUUUAUGUGGGUGGACAGAAACAUCCUUUCUAAAGUUUUCUUGGGGCUGUACUGACGAACAACUUGUUCAGUGAUACCAACCCCUUCGAGCUCCCUCAACCCUUCGACAACACUUAUUCAGUUUCUCACCACAAGUAGUAAGAGACAUGAUCAGAUCGCUAACCAGUGAUGAAGGCGUUAUGUGGUCGUUGACGUCAUGCUAAAUGUUGGUGUAGUGCCAAAUAAGAAGAUACGGAACAAAAUCCCUAAGCUAGACAUUAUGCGUGGAUGUAGGUGGAUGUGGGCGCUGUGGCCGCCACCAAGGAUGUAGGGGUCGCGCCCCAAGCUGCAAGUACGUGGUAGGGCGUCAAAACUGACGAGGACACGGGAGCCGCACUGCAGCAUGAGUGUUUUUCAUAAUUUAU